rnacentral:rRNA from 1 species
AUGAACGCUGGCGGCGUGCCUAAUACAUGCAAGUCGAGCGAACGGACGAGAAGCUUGCUUCUCUGAUGUUAGCGGCGGACGGGUGAGUAACACGUGGAUAACCUACCUAUAAGACUGGGAUAACUUCGGGAAACCGGAGCUAAUACCGGAUAAUAUUUUGAACCGCAUGGUUCAAAAGUGAAAGACGGUCUUGCUGUCACUUAUAGAUGGAUCCGCGCUGCAUUAGCUAGUUGGUAAGGUAACGGCUUACCAAGGCAACGAUGCAUAGCCUACCUGAGAGGGUGAUCGGCCACACUGGAACUGAGACACGGUCCAGACGCCUACGGGAGGCGGCAGUAGGGAAUCUUCCGCAAUGGGCGAAAGCCUGACGGAGCAACGCCGCGUGAGUGAUGAAGGUCUUCGGAUCGUAAAACUCUGUUAUUAGGGAAGAACAUAUGUGUAAGUAACUGUGCACAUCUUGACGGUACCUAAUCAGAAAGCCACGGCUAACUACGU